rnacentral:rRNA from 1 species
UACGGAGGGUGCGAGCGUUGUCCGGAAUCACUGGGCGUAAAGGGCGCGUAGGCGGCUUCUCAAGCGUGUGGUGAAAGUCCGGGGCUCAACCCCGGAUCGGCCGUGCGGACUGGGGAGCUCGAGUUCUGUAGAGGCGGGUGGAAUUCCGGGUGUAGCGGUGGAAUGCGUAGAGAUCCGGAAGAACACCGGUGGCGAAGGCGGCCCGCUGGGCAGAGACUGACGCUGAGACGCGAAAGCGUGGGGAGCAAACAGG